GAUGAACGCUGGCGGCGUGCCUAAUACAUGCAAGUCGAGCGAACGGACGAGAAGCUUGCUUUUCUGAUGUUAGCGGAGGACGGGUGAGUAACACGUGGAUAACCUACCUAUAAGACUGGGAUAACUUCGGGAAACCGGAGCUAAUACCGGAUAAUAUUUUGAACCGCAUGGUUCAAAAGUGAAAGACGGUCUUGCUGUCACUUAUAGAUGGAUCCGGGCUGCAUUAGCUAGUUGGUAAGGUAACGGCUUACCAAGGCAACGAUGCAUAGCCGACCUGAGAGGGUGAUCGGCCACACUGGAACUGAGACACGGUCCAGACUCCUACGGGAGGCAGCAGUAGGGAAUCUUCCGCAAUGGGCGAAAGCCUUACGCAGCAACGCCGCGUGAGUGAUGAAGGUCUUCGGAUCGUAAAACUCUGUUAUUAGUGAAGAACAUAUGUGUAAGUAACUGUGCACAUCUUGACGGUACCUAAUCAGAAAGCCACGGCUAACUACGUG
rnacentral:rRNA from 1 species